rnacentral:rRNA from 1 species
AGUGAGCGCUGGCGGUAGGCCUAACACAUGCAAGUCGAACGGCAGCACAGUAAGAGCUUGCUCUUACGGGUGGCGAGUGGCGGACGGGUGAGGAAUACAUCGGAGUCUACUUUUUCGUGGGGGAUAACGUAGGGAAACUUACGCUAAUACCGCAUACGACCUACGGGUGAAAGCAGGGGAUCUUCUGACCUUGCGCGAUUGAAUGAGCCGAUGUCGGAUUAGCUAGUUGGCGGGGUAAAGGCCCACCAAGGCGACGAUCCGUAGCUGGUCUGAGAGGAUGAUCAGCCACACUGGAACUGAGACACGGUCCAGACUCCUACGGGAGGCAGCAGUGGGGAAUAUUGGACAAUGGGCGCAAGCCUGAUCCAGCCAUACCGCGUGGGUGAAGAAGGCCUUAGGGUUGUAAAGCCCUUUUGUUGGGAAAGAAAAGCAGCAGGUUAAUACCCCGCUGUUCUGACGGUACCCAAAGAAUAAGCACCGGCUAACUUCGUG